GACGAACGCUGGCGGCAGGCCUAACACAUGCAAGUCGAACGAAGUCUUCGGACUUAGUGGCGGACGGGUGAGUAACACGUGGGAACGUGCCUUUAGGUUCGGAAUAACUCAGGGAAACUUGUGCUAAUACCGAAUGUGCCCUUCGGGGGAAAGAUUUAUCGCCUUUAGAGCGGCCCGCGGCUGAUUAGCUAGUUGGUGAGGUAAAGGCUCACCAAGGCGACGAUCAGUAGCUGGUCUGAGAAGAUGAUCAGCCACAUUGGGACUGAGACACGGCCCCAACUCAUACGGGAGGCAGCAGUGGGGAAUCUAGCGCAAUGGGCGAAAGCCUGACGCAGCCAUGCCGCGUGAAUGAUGAAGGUCUUAGGAUUGUAAAAUUCUUUCACCGGGGACGAUAAUGACGGUACCCGGAGAAGAAGCCCCGGCUAACUUCGUGCCAGCCGCCGCCGUAACAC
rnacentral:rRNA from 1 species